ACUUAAAUUGAAGAGUUUGAUCAUGGCUCAGAUUGAACGCUGGCGGCAGGCCUAACACAUGCAAGUCGAACGGUAGCACAGAGAGCUUGCUCUCGGGUGACGAGUGGCGGACGGGUGAGUAAUGUCUGGGAAACUGCCUGAUGGAGGGGGAUAACUACUGGAAACGGUAGCUAAUACCGCAUAACGUCGCGAGACCAAAGUGGGGGACCUUCGGGCCUCAUGCCAUCAGAUGUGCCCAGAUGGGAUUAGCUUGUAGGUGAGGUAAUGGCUCACCUAGGCGACGAUCCCUAGCUGGUCUGAGAGGAUGACCAGCCACACUGGAACUGAGACACGGUCCAGACUCCUACGGGAGGCAGCAGUGGGGAAUAUUGCACAAUGGGCGCAAGCCUGAUG
rnacentral:rRNA from 1 species